UCUUCCAACUAAUUUCAAAAACAAUAAACCAAACAAAACAUAGUGCAGCAUAAUAAAAACAACAAAACUUAUUAUCUCCUUGUUCAUGAUUUUACAUUGUUUUACAGGGAAAGAAUUUGCUUGUGCUGCUGUUUGUUUUCGUGAAGGUCCCGCAACCCCAAUUGUAGCUCCGAAUAAUUUACGGCCUCUGAAACGAUCGAUUCCAACACGAUCCAAAAAUCCUUCAUUCCGACCACACGAUUCAAAUCGCAACACCGAACAACAUCGUCCUCCCCGCAAGCGGACCACCACACAACACAUCUCCGUCGUUCAACGCUCCAGACGGCGACCACCACAACAACCGAGUUCAACAUCGGGUCAACAUCAAAAUCAAAACGACACCGCUCAGCCACCGCUUCCGCCGUCGAUUCUCUUCCCAUGGGUUAGCUUUCCUAUUUUCUGUUCCUUUUUCUUCUAAAUCUAUUAUGUGUUGUAUGAUUCAUGUGUUACAAUUUAUGAUUCCCAAUGUUUUGUUAAAAUGUCAUGAAUACUGUUUUGGAUUUCCUUUGGUUGUGUGUAAAUUGAGGAGUUUGAGAUGAGGAUGAAAUAGUUUUCAUUGUAGUCGUUUUGUUUUUGAGAAAUUAACAUGGAAAUUAGAAACAGGGAGAUAAAGGUAGAAGAGGAAGAGGGGUUUAAAUUUGUUCUUUUUACUGAAGCGUGUAGGUACAUGGUAGGUCGCUAAGCUCCCUCUUCAUAUCUGUGGGGCCAGGCCAAAUUUCCGCAUCUAUCCUAGUAGCAACAGAAAGGAUGUGAAGAAAGAAAAACUAACUGGACCAUUGGGAAAGGACUAGAGCCUUGUUACUAUAGUUCGCGCUUCUGAGAUCAUCGUUGAUUGGGAGAGAGAAAGUUUUUGCGCUUGGGAUCCUAAGCCAGCAACAUCCCCGGGUUUAGCUCCCGACUGGAGGGAGAGGAGCAAGGCAUUAAGAAGAAGAGCGAGUGCUUAUUGAUUGCUCUCUAUGCGAAACCUAUGGAGAGUCUGAAAGCCUGGCUCUGGAAGCAAGUUCUUCAGAUGUGGGAAGUUUAAUGAUUGAAAGCAAAAUCAUUGAUCUUGGGUACCUAGGCCAUAACUUGUUGUCUACCUAGGGAUAUGCCAUUUAUGGGGAAUAAGAAAGGAGCUAGUCAGAGAUUUUGACUUCUUAAGCCAAUCCUAGUACUGGUCUUACUUAUUACCUCAUUUUUAUCUUUCUUUGACUUUGAGGAAGAUCCCACGAAUCGUCUUCUAUCGACAUCCUCUGCUUACUCUUAUCGUACGCUCUUCUUACCCAACCCAAAUCGUCUGGUACUCUGUCCGCUCUCCCUUUCCUGGUGAAGGAGAGAGAGUUUUACAAGCUGAUGCACUCACGAGGAAUGGAAAGAAACAUCUUAUAUUUGAUCUCGAAGUCCUCAUAUCCCUUAUUUUACUAACAAAUUUUUCUUAAUGUUAAUAAUUAUUUAAAUUGUUUUUUUUAUCUAAAAAAUAUAUGUAAUAAAAAAAAUAAAAGAAAGAUGAAAAGUCAC